GAUGAAGAACGCAGCGAAAUGCGAUAAGUAAUGCGAAUUGCAGAAUUCAGUGAGUCAUCGAAUCUUUGAACGCACAUUGCGCCCUGUGGUAUUCCGCAGGGCAUGCCUGUUCGAGCGUCAUUUCAACCCUCAAGCUCUGCUUGGUGUUGGGCCCUGCCCGCUGCGGCCGGCCCUAAAGACAGUGGCGGUGCCGCCUGGCCCUGAGUGUAGUACAUCUCUCGCUCCAGUGCCCGGUGGUAGCCUGCCAGAACCCCAACUCUCGUGGUUGACCUCGGAUCAGGUAGGGAUACCCGCUGAACUUAAGCAUAUCAAUAAGCGGAGGA
rnacentral:misc_RNA from 1 species